rnacentral:rRNA from 1 species
UAACCUGCCUUGGAGUGGGGAAUAACAGCUGGAAACAGCUGCUAAUACCGCAUAAUAUAUCUGUGUCGCAUGGCACUGGAUAUCAAAGAUUUAUCGCUCUGAGAUGGACUCGCGUCUGAUUAGCUGGUUGGCGGGGUAACGGCCCACCAAGGCGACGAUCAGUAGCCGGACUGAGAGGUUGGCCGGCCACAUUGGGACUGAGACACGGCCCAGACUCCUACGGAAGGCAGCAG